rnacentral:rRNA from 1 species
GAUGAACGCUGGCGGCGUGCCUAAUACAUGCAAGUCGAGCGAACAGAUAAGGAGCUUGCUCCUUUGACGUUAGCGGCGGACGGGUGAGUAACACGUGGGUAACCUACCUAUAAGACUGGGAUAACUUCGGGAAACCGGAGCUAAUACCGGAUAACAUUUGGAACCGCAUGGUUCUAAGGUGAAAGAUGGUUUUGCUAUCACUUAUAGAUGGACCCGCGCCGUAUUAGCUAGUUGGUAAGGUAACGGCUUACCAAGGCAACGAUACGUAGCCGACCUGAGAGGGUGAUCGGCCACACUGGAACUGAGACACGGUCCAGACUCCUACGGGAGGCAGCAGUAGGGAAUCUUCCGCAAUGGGCGAAAGCCUGACGGAGCAACGCCGCGUGAGUGAUGAAGGGUUUCGGCUCGUAAAACUCUGUUAUUAGGGAAGAACAAACGUGUAAGUAACUGUGCACGUCUUGACGGUACCUAAUCAGAAAGCCACGGCUAACUACGUG